rnacentral:rRNA from 1 species
UUAGGAAUCUUCGGCAAUGGGCGAAAGCCUGACCGAGCGACGCCGCGUGAAGGAUGAAGGCCCUCGGGUCGUAAACUUCUAAAAGAGGGACGAUAGUGACGGUACCUCUUGAAAAGCACCGGCUAACUCCGUGCCAGCAGCCGCGGUAAUACGGAGGGUGCAAGCGUUAUCCGGAAUCACUGGGCGUAAAGGGCGCGUAGGCGGUCUGUUAAGUCCGAUGUUAAAGACUGGGGCUCAACCCCAGCAUUGCGUUGGAUACUGGCAGGCUUGACGGUUGGAGAGGCGAGUGGAAUUACCAGUGUAGCGGUGAAAUGCGUAGAUACUGGUAGGAACACCCAUUGCGAAGGCAGCUCGCUGGACAACACGUGACGCUGAGGCGCGAAAGUGUGGGGAGCAAACC